GGACGAACGCUGGCGGUAUGCCUAACACAUGCAAGUCGAACGAGACGAGAUGGAAGGAGUCCUCGGGUGACGGAAAUCUUAGAAAGUGGCGAACGGGUGGAGUAACGCGUGGGUAACCUGCCCUAUGGAAAGGAAUAGCCUCGGGAAACUGGGAGUAAUGCCUUAUAAUACAUUGAAGUCGCAUGGCUUUGAUGUUAAACGCUCCGGUGCCAUAGGAUGGACCCGCGUCCCAUUAGCUAGUUGGUGAGAUAACAGCCCACCAAGGCGACGAUGGGUAACCGGUCUGAGAGGGCGAACGGUCACACUGGAACUGAGACACGGUCCAGACUCCUACGGGAGGCAGCAGUGGGGAAUAUUGCGCAAUGGGGGGAAAAACCCCUGACGCAGCAAUACCGCGUGAGUGAAGAAGGUUUUCGGAUCGUAAAGCUCUGUUAUUGGGGAAGAAAAAAGACGGUACCCAAGAAGAAAGUCCCGGCUAACUACGUGCCAGCAGCAGC
rnacentral:rRNA from 1 species